GAUUUCAAUCUGCCUACAACCAUAUGUUCGACACAAUCGAUGAAAGCCCACGGAUUGACUCCAGUUUGGGAAGAAUCGAUACCGAGGAUCUCAUUAAAGUCAGCAUGGACGCAUACGACCAUCACAAAUACAACAUUGAUAUAGAAUUUGAAGAUAUAGUCCCAUUUAAACCGGAAGUGGUUCCCCAGCCGGAAGAGACGGCUCCUCAGAACAGCAACCUUAAUAGGUUGAUAAACAUUUCUGAUUGCACCUUGCACAUCGCGAUGAACUAUCGAGGUCAGCGGGUGUUUGACAGAGUGUGCACGGGCCCAGAAGGAUGUCACAUAUUCUACAACAGCUGUCGCGGUGACACGGCGCAUUCAAAUGCCAUGGAUAAGGGUUUAACAUUACAGAUGAAAAGUGGAAGCAUAUAUGCCAUAAGGAGGGGCAGGUGCCGCAUAUACGUGUCAACACCGUCUUGGAAUAACGGCGGGUUGUUAAGACUUGACAGAGACGUGGAGACUAACAUCUUUGACGUGGACAACUACUUCAAGCCAGCUUUGACCAAGUACAUGCACCAAAAAGGCCCCAUGCCUUUGGUAGAGGUGAUCAUUUCAUUUGGUCGCAGUUCUCGAGUCACGAAUCCUUUAACGAUCUCCUCAUCGCCGCCAAAGUGGUCCACGCAGAGGCGCAGAAUCUUCUCACCAUAGUGUGUUCGUCUUAGGAAAACGGGAUUUAAUGCAAAUGCGUAAAAUAUCGUUCCAUAAUAGCCUGUUAAGUCAAUACAGGCUAAUCACGGACGACAAUAUCCGCUUGUAUGGUAUUGCUUUGUUUAAAGAAAGCCAUUCUUAACGAAAAUCCAGUUUAGGCAGAAGUGUCUCUCAUAAGCCUUUGUGGACUGCACAGGCUAAUAUUGGACGACACUUUGCGUACAUUCAUUAAGCCCCGUAUUCAAAGAGCUCGGCCCAUUCACAUCUUUGUGAUAAUUUUAAUGAGUCACAAUUUUAAUGAGUCAAUUUGCGGUAACAAAUAGAGAUUGCAUUGUUAGUUCAAAAGAUUGAAAUGUUUUACAAUCGGGCAAAAUGGUGCAUGCAUACGAAGAUGCAGUGUUGAUAUAAAAAAUUAAUUACGAUUAUCAUGUAUUUAUAAAAAUGUGUACAAUGUAUAUGCAUUUUUAAGUUAUAUUUUACACAUAGUGAUGCUACUAACGUUAAAAUAGUGCUUUAACUGCAAUGCGUAUUAUACAUUUAAUAUUAUUAUAAUGAUUUUAAGGGCAAUUAAUUGUACAAUACAGAAAGUUCCUACGCUUCAUGACUCCUGUGAAAAAUGUCAUCUAUCAUGUAUGCAAUAUCAAUAUUAAAUACCAUUAUACAAGAUAUGACGACAUGUAUAUCAUUACAAACAAACGUUUAAAGGAGAUUUGUAACAAUAACUUCCUUGUUUCUUAUUAAGAUGAACUGUUGUCACAUUGUAAAACCUAUUAUGUCAGACUUACUACCCGGUAUACAAAUUACAAUUAUUUGUGAGCACUCCUGCAAUUAUUCAUACUGAUAUCUAUCAUUUGUUACCACAUUUGUGCUUAUUUCUCAUUAUGUGUAAAAUGUAUGAACUCUGUAGUGAUAUUUCCAUAUUCUAGCUGUCAUUUGUGAACACUGUGUAAUAAUGAAUGAUUUUAGCUUCCAUUUAUGAACAGUCGAGUGAAUAUAUGUUGGUAUAGCUAUAAUUUGUUAACCUUUGUGUCAAUAUUUCUGAGAAUAGCUAUCAUUUGUGAACACUUUUGCAAUUAUUGCAGAUUAGAGCUGUGAACAGUAAGUUCGUUAUUUUUUAAUAUACGAGUCGCAUUGUGAGAAAACUGGGCAUAAUGCAUGUGUGUAAAGUGUUAUCCCACAUUAGCCUGUGCAGUCCACACAGGCUAAUCAGGGACGACACUUUCUGCCUUAAUUGGAUUUUUGCUAAGAGACUUCAUUUAAACGAAAAAUGUCAUAAAGCGGAAAGUUUCGUCCCUGAUUAGCCUUUGCGGACUGCACAGGCUAAUCUUGAACGACACUUUACGCACAUGCAUUAAACCCAGUUUUCUCAGAACGCGUCUAAUAUCUACCAUUUGUGAACUCUCUGUGUGAUUAUAUCCCAUUUAUAGCUAUCAAUUGUGAACACUUGUGUCAUUAUUAUUGAUGAUACAUAUCACUUGCUGUGAUUUUCUCUGAUUAAUAGAAGUCUAUAUAUUACACAAUAGCAGAUGUGCUAUGAGUUUUAGAUAAUAUUUAUUAAGGUUCCAAAGUAUCUGUUACACAUAACUUACUGCUUUACUACAAUACAAUAUGCAAAUAUAAAAAACAUCAAUCGGAUGGACAGUUAAAAUAGAAAAUAUAAGCAAGUUAACUGCCAAGUAAUUGCAUUGUUAAGUUGAUAAACAUGUUAGUCAAGGUCAACUUGUGAUGUAAGAUGUAUAAAGUCGAGUUUACUCUUUCCCUCAUAAGGACCACAGUGAAAAUGGCUUAUUCAACCAGCAUAAAACCAGAUAAGCCUUGAGUAACUUGCAGUCUGUUCAGGUUUUAUUCUGUUUUGCUACUUAUCAGUGACUAAGGGUUUGCAAUGAAGCCUUUACACUUGAAUCUAGUAAGAAAGGUAUUUAAUUAAAUGUAACUUUCUGAGGGACAACAAAUGCCUCAAAAUAUGUAUCAUAGUGGUAAAGGGUUAAAGAGAGAAGUUAAUCAGAACUCAACA